rnacentral:rRNA from 1 species
AUGAACGCUGGCGGCGUGCCUAAUACAUGCCAGUCGAGCGAACAGACGAGGAGCUUGCUCCUCUGACGUUAGCGGCGGACGGGUGAGUAACACGUGGAUAACCUACCUAUAAGACUGGGAUAACUUCGGUAAACCGGAGCUAAUACCGGAUAAUAUAUUGAACCGCAUGGUUCAAUAGUGAAAGACGGUUUUGUUGUCACUUAUAUAUGGAUCCGCGCCGCAUUAGCUAGUUGGUAAGGUAACGGCUUACCAAGGCAACGAUGCGUAGCCGACCUGGGAGGGUGAUCGGCCACACUGGAACUGAGACACGGUCCAGACUCCUACGGGAGGCAGCAGUAGGGAAUCUUCCGCAAUGGGCGAAAGCCUGACGGAGCAACGCCGCGUGAGUGAUGAAGGUCUUCGGAUCGUAAAACUCUGUUAUUAGGGAAGAACAAAUGUGUAAGUAACUAUGCACGUCUUGACGGUACCUAAUCAGAAAGCCACGGCUAACUACGUG